ensembl:lncRNA
AGGUCUGUGGAAUGCUAAACAUCUCUGCCCAAAUGUAGUAAUUGUGCAGGUUUCAGUUUCCUCCUUAUGUAAUUUCAGGUAGAAAGGCAAUCAAGCCUCAUGAUAUUAAAUGUGAAUCUGGGUGGUGACUGAUUGGUGUCCUCGUCAAAGGCUCCCUAGUUCUUUUAGAUUGUAUUUCUGGGCACAUGGGAAAGCUGACCUGAGUGAUUAAUUCAGUCAGAGAUGUAUGUCGGGGUGGCUGUAGCAGCGCCGAUUACCUCCUUCCGCUGCGUGGGACUCAGGAUGAAAGAGACUUGUCUUCUCGGCCGUCUUGGCUGCUGCUGCUCUAAAUUUCUUCUCUGGAGUGGAAUUGUGUCCUAGAGCAGGGGUCCCCAACUCCUGAGCCACUGACUGGUCUGUUAGGAACUGGGCCACAUAGCAGGAGGUGAGCUGCUGAUGAGUGAGGGAAGCUUUGUCUUUAUUCACAGCCGCUCCCCAAUGCAUUUAUCAACCCAAACACCCCCCAACCCUGGAAAAAUUGUUUCCAUGAAACUUGUCACUGGUUCCCAAAAGGUACUAAACAGUGCCUGAUGUUUUCCUCGCUGGGAUUGCUGUCUGUGUGUGUCCUGCUCAUCCAGGGCCUGCUUCACUUGCACCCUGCUCAUGUGAUUGUACUUGCUACUUACUUUCCCCGCCACAGCUGGUGAAUGUUGAAUUAAUGUAUGUAUAAAUGUUAAAUUAAUGAAUGUAAUCUUAAAUCAGAACUUCUCCACCAUGGAUCUUAUUAAAGGGGAGUGAGGGGCGUGCUGAAGAAGGCUUUCUUCUCUCUUCUUGCUAUUCUUGGAACUCUGCAUUCAGAUGUUUAUAUCUUUCCUUUUCUCCUUUGCUUUUCGCUUCUCUUCUUUUCACAGCUAUUUGUAAGGCCUCCCCAGCAGCCAUUUUGCUUUUUUGCAUUUCUUUUCUAUGGGAAUGGUCUUGAUCCCUGUCUCCUGUACAAUGUCACGAACCUCAUUCCAUAGUUCAUCAGGCACUCUAUCUAUCAGAUCUAGGCCCUUAAAUCUAUUUCUCACUUCCACUGUAUAAUCAUAAGGGAUUUGAUUUAGGUCAUACCUGAAAGGUCUAGUGGUUUCCCCUACUUUCUUCAAUUUAAGUCUGAAUUUGGCAAUAAGGAGUUCAUGGUCUGAGCCACAGUCAGCUCCUGGUCUUGUUUUGCUGACUGUAUAGAGCUUCUCCAUCUUUGGCUGCAAAGAAUAUAAUCAAUCUGAUUUCGGUGUUGACCAUCUGGUGAUGUCCAUGUAUAGAGUCUUCUCUUGUGUUGUUGGAAGAGGGUGGUUGUUAUGAUCAGUGCAUUUUCUUGUCAAAACUCUAUUACUCUUUGCCCUGCUUCAUUCCGUAUUCCAAGGCCAAAUUUGCCUGUUACUCCAGAUGUUUCUUGACUUCCUACUUUUGCAUUCCAGUCCCCUCUAAUGAAAAGGACAUCUUUUUUGGGUGUUAGUUCUAAAAGGUCUUGUAGGUCUUCAUAGAACCGUUCAACUUCAGCUUCUUCAGCAUUACUGGUUGGGGCAUAGGCUUGGAUUACUGUGAUAUUGAAUGGUUUGCCUUGGAAGCGAACAGAGAUCAUUCUGUCGUUUUGAGAUUGCAUCAAGUACUGCAUUUUGGACUCUUUUGUUGACCAUGAUGGCCACUCCAUUUCUUCUGAGGGAUUCCUGCCUGCAGUAGUAGAUAUAAUGGUCAUCUGAGUUAAAUUCACCCAUUCCAGUCCAUUUCAGUUUGCUGAUUCCUAGAAUGCUGACAUUCACUCUUGCCAUCUCUUGUUUGACCA